UAAAUUUCACAGAACCAUCUUAACACUUGUAGUGUUCAUGGAUGCAACAUUCAACAUCUCAACUCGAAGAGAUCACGAGGACACACACAACCAUCAUCAAAAGGUUGGUACCUUCCCUAGCGUUUCACCACCAACCUAACCAGACCACUUCUCUAGAUGUAUGUACAAAGCGUCGAGGUCCUCCACCUUGAGGAACUUCGGACGAUGGCGUCGUCCUCCACCUCGGUGACGUCCGGACGGUGGCGUCG
rnacentral:lncRNA from 1 species